rnacentral:rRNA from 1 species
AUGGUGGUCGCCGACGCCACAGGAGGAGAAGAGGGGGCGAGGAUCUCCCCGAAGGGAGGCCAAGGAGAGGAGGAGGCGGAGGAGCAGCUGUGCCGCAUCUGCCGUCUCCCCGCCGAGGCGGAGCGCCCCCUGCGGAGCCCAUGCGCCUGCCGCGGCAGCAUCAGGUUCGUCCACGACGAGUGCCAGCUCCGGUGGAUCGCCGCCCGCGGAAAACCCCUAUGCGAGGUAUGCAACCGCGGCAUCACCACCCGGCUUCUCUACGCCGCGGACGCCCCCACGAGGCUGCCCGUUUCCGAGUUCAUGGUGGGGGCGUCCGACAAGCUCACGGGUCUGCUGCUGCUGCUCGUCUUCGCCGUAUGCGUCGUGCCGGAGUUUUCCGUUCACCUCGCCGCGCUCUGGGCUUGGCGCCUCGCGCUUGCCAGAUCCUUUGCUCAAGCGUGCUGUUUGCUCUCCCUCCGUCUUUCUACCGCCUCCGCCCUCGCUUUAUUUGCGCUCUGCAUUGCAUUCGCGUGCCGGUUUGCUCCAUUUGCUGUAGCUCCAUUUGCACCAUGGGUUGCACGCCUAGAAACUCGGCGUCAGGGGUUUCGUGGAUUUGAUGGCUUGCAAGUCCUUGCGCUACUUGCCGUUGAAGCAUUCUUGAUGGUGGUAAUAUUUGACAUGGCUCUUGCUUGUAUUUUGGUUUUUAUCCCAUUCUCGCUGGGAAGGAUAAUCCACUGGUGCAUAUCGUGUUCCAGUUUUUCCAGUGUGGGUGAAGUCAACUCCUACACUUCAACAGGCUCUGCCCUUCUAAUUGGAUAUGGACUUAUCAUUUCUGUCGGUGUCACUUUUCCUGGGCUGAACACUCUCUGGCAAUACUUUAGGGGGGAGCGCUUUAUGAUUGCAAUUUUCAUUAGACGGCUCCAUGCUAGAUUCCUCAGAGAGACCGCAGGUUUUACCACUCUUGCAAGUAUUCUCCUGAGCGCAUUUAUAAUGUACCCGUUGUUCUUUGGCUGGUUGCUUGAUGUCUUCACUUCAAAAAUGUUUGGUGCAACAAUGUCUCAAAGGUUGGAACUUCUGUUUGCUCCAUCUUUUGCUUCAGCUUCUCUUCAUUGUUUUAUUGGACACAUCUUUUUGAAUCUACGUCUCUGGUUAUCCGUAACUCUUCACAAGAUAUUGAGGCUGGGAGUUGCCUGUCCCUGUUGCCACAUCCACCGUAACCAUAUUCAGGAACCAUUCCACAAAUUUUAUUUUAAGCGUGCUCUUCUGUAUGACGUUAUCUUUAUGGCCGUAGUAAUUUUUGCUCCUGUUCAAAUUGCUGGCCAAUUGGCACCGGAGCUGUUCCCAUUAGAUAUCACUUGUGCUGCUGAAGGCUUAUCAUUAUGGCAAGCGCCACGAAACUAUGCCAAUUCAAUUUCUCGUGUUUUCAUUGUGUGGUUUCUCAUUAAGGGCACUUCUACAGUCACAUACCUUGAGUCGCUAGUGAAGAAGUCUAUCGCCAUUCCCUUCCUGAAUGGCUUGCUGGUUGAUUUAUUUCUAAUAUCACCUAUCGUUGGACCUGCUGACGACGUUUCAUUAUCCUACAUUUGGGCCCUUGGGUUUCUAUUUAUGAGAAUCUGGCUAAAGCUGGUUCAGCAGAUAAGGGCCAGACCUGUCCUUGCCUAUAUCAUUGAUGAAAGGUGGGUUCCGACGAUUGUUCGGUGGAAGGCCGAUUGUCUUUCUUGGGAGAUAUCAAUGUGCUGGUUCUUGCAAGAAAUCUUCAUGCCUAUUGCCACGAGGCUACUCGCUGCUCUAGGCGUUCCUUAUGUGCUCGCCAAGGUUGUCUUCCCAAGAUUUGGCUACUCCGCUGCUGUGAACUCAGCAGUAUAUCGCUUCGCAUGGCUGGGCAGCCUCGGCUCCUGUGAGCUCUGCUAUCUCUUCAAGGUGUUGUGUGUCAAACUCCAUGAUUCGAUCAGGGAUGAGCGCUACGUCAUCGGGAAGAGGUUGGAAGAUGUCCCCGAUGAUAGGUGA